rnacentral:snoRNA from 1 species
UUGCUGUGAUGUAUGAAUUUCUUCACCUGAAAUCAAAGUGAAGAUCAAAUUUAUACGAGCUUUUUAACCCUGAGCGAU